rnacentral:rRNA from 1 species
UACGGGGGGGGCAAGCGUUGUUCGGAAUUACUGGGCGUAAAGGGCUCGUAGGUGGCCAACUAAGUCAGACGUGAAAUCCCUCGGCUUAACCGGGGAACUGCGUCUGAUACUGGAUGGCUUGAGUUCGGGAGAGGGAUGCGGAAUUCCAGGUGUAGCGGUGAAAUGCGUAGAUAUCUGGAGGAACACCGGUGGCGAAGGCGGCAUCCUGGACCGACACUGACGCUGAGGAGCGAAAGCUAGGGGAGCAAACAGG